rnacentral:rRNA from 1 species
GACGAACGCUGGCGGCGUGCUUAACACAUGCAAGUCGAGCGGUAAGGCCCUUCGGGGUACACGAGCGGCGAACGGGUGAGUAACACGUGAGUAAUCUGCCCAUCACUUCGGGAUAACUCCGGGAAACCGGUGCUAAUACCGAAUAUGACCACUUCAGGCAUCUGAUGGUGGUGGAAAAUUCCGGCGGUGAUGGAUGAGCUCGCGGCCUAUCAGCUUGUUGGUGGGGUAGUGGCCUACCAAGGCUUCGACGGGUAGCCGGCCUGAGAGGGUGACCGGCCACACUGGGACUGAGACACGGCCCAGACUCCUACGGGAGGCAGCAGUGGGGAAUAUUGGACAAUGGGCGAAAGCCUGAUCCAGCAACGCCGCGUGAGGGAUGACGGCCUUCGGGUUGUAAACCUCUUUCAGCAGGGACGAAGCGCAAGUGACGGUACCUGCAGAAGAAGCACCGGCCAACUACGUG